UACGGAGGGUGCAAGCGUUACUCGGAAUUACUGGGCGUAAAGGGCGCGUAGGUGGUUUGUUAAGUCUGCUGUGAAAUCCCCGGGCUCAACCUGGGAAUGGCAGUGGAUACUGGCAAGCUAGAGUGCGGUAGAGGGUAGUGGAAUUCCCGGUGUAGCAGUGAAAUGCGUAGAGAUCGGGAGGAACACCAGUGGCGAAGGCGGCUCCCUGGACCAGCACUGACACUGAAGCACGAAAGCGUGGGGAGCAAACAGG
rnacentral:rRNA from 1 species